rnacentral:rRNA from 1 species
UACGUAGGGAGCAAGCGUUGUCCGGAAUCAUUGGGCGUAAAGCGCGCGUAGGCGGCCUCAUAAGUUCCGUUGUGAAAGUCAAAGGCUCAACCUUUGAAAGCCGAUGGAUACUGUGAGGCUAGAGUCCGGAAGAGGCGAGUGGAAUUCCUGGUGUAGCGGUGGAAUGCGCAGAUAUCAGGAGGAACACCAAUAGCGAAGGCAGCUCGCUGGGACGGUACUGACGCUAAGGCGGCGAAAGCGUGG